GAAACAUCUAAGUACCCCGAGGAAAAGAAAUCAACCGAGAUUCCCCCAGUAGCGGCGAGCGAACGGGGAGCAGCCCAGAGUCUGAAUCAGCUUGUGUGUUAGUGGAACGGUCUGGAAAGUCCGACGGUACAGGGUGAUAGUCCCGUACACCAAAAUGCACAGGUUGUGAACUCGAAGAGUAGGGCGGGACACGUGGUAUCCUGUCUGAAUAUGGGGGGACCAUCCUCCAAGGCUAAAUACUCCUGACUGACCGAUAGUGAACCAGUACCGUGAGGGAAAGGCGAAAAGAACCCCGGCGAGGGGAGUGAAAAAGAACCUGAAACCGUGUACGUACAAGCAGUGGGAGCACCUUCGGGUGUGACUGCGUACCUUUUGUAUAAUGGGUCAGCGACUUAUAUUCUGUAGCAAGGUUAACCGUAUAGGGGAGCCGCAGGGAAACCGAGUCUUAACUGGGCGUUAAGUUGCAGGGUAUAGACCCGAAACCCGGUGAUCUAGCCAUGGGCAGGUUGAAGGUUGGGUAACACUAACUGGAGGACCGAACCGACUAAUGUUGAAAAAUUAGCGGAUGACUUGUGGCUGGGGGUGAAAGGCCAAUCAAACCGGGAGAUAGCUGGUUCUCCCCGAAAGCUAUUUAGGUAGCGCCUCGUGAACUCAUCUUCGGGGGUAGAGCACUGUUUCGGCUAGGGGGUCAUCCCGACUUACCAACCCGAUGCAAACUACGAAUACCGAAGAAUGUUAUCACGGGAGACACACGGCGGGUGCUAACGUCCGUCGUGAAGAGGGAAACAACCCAGACCGCCAGCUAAGGUCCCAAAGUCAUGGUUAAGUGGGAAACGAUGUGGGAAGGCACAGACAGCCAGGAUGUUGGCUUAGAAGCAGCCAUCAUUUAAAGAAAGCGUAAUAGCUCACUGGUCGAGUCGGCCUGCGCGGAAGAUGUAACGGGGCUAAACCAUGCACCGAAGCUGCGGCAGCGACACUAUGUGUUGUUGGGUAGGGGAGCGUUCUGUAAGCCUGCGAAGGUGUGCUGUGAGGCAUGCUGGAGGUAUCAGAAGUGCGAAUGCUGACAUAAGUAACGAUAAAGCGGGUGAAAAGCCCGCUCGCCGGAAGACCAAGGGUUCCUGUCCAACGUUAAUCGGGGCAGGGUGAGUCGACCCCUAAGGCGAGGCCGAAAGGCGUAGUCGAUGGGAAACAGGUUAAUAUUCCUGUACUUGGUGUUACUGCGAAGGGGGGACGGAGAAGGCUAUGUUAGCCGGGCGACGGUUGUCCCGGUUUAAGCAUGUAGGCUGGUUAUCCAGGCAAAUCCGGAUAAUCAAGGCUGAGGUGUGAUGACGAGGCACUACGGUGCUGAAGUAACAAAUGCCCUGCUUCCAGGAAAAGCCUCUAAGCAUCAGGUAACAUUAAAUCGUACCCCAAACCGACACAGGUGGUCAGGUAGAGAAUACCAAGGCGCUUGAGAGAACUCGGGUGAAGGAACUAGGCAAAAUGGUGCCGUAACUUCGGGAGAAGGCACGCUGGUGUGUAGGUGAAGUCCCUGCGGAUGGAGCUGAGACCAGUCGAAGAUACCAGCUGGCUGCAACUGUUUAUUAAAAACACAGCACUGUGCAAACACGAAAGUGGACGUAUACGGUGUGACGCCUGCCCGGUGCCGGAAGGUUAAUUGAUGGGGUUAUCCGUAAGGAGAAGCUCUUGAUCGAAGCCCCGGUAAACGGCGGCCGUAACUAUAACGGUCCUAAGGUAGCGAAAUUCCUUGUCGGGUAAGUUCCGACCUGCACGAAUGGCGUAAUGAUGGCCAGGCUGUCUCCACCCGAGACUCAGUGAAAUUGAACUCGCUGUGAAGAUGCAGUGUACCCGCGGCAAGACGGAAAGACCCCGUGAACCUUUACUAUAGCUUGACACUGAACAUUGAGCCUUGAUGUGUAGGAUAGGUGGGAGGCUUUGAAGCGUGGACGCCAGUCUGCGUGGAGCCAACCUUGAAAUACCACCCUUUAAUGUUUGAUGUUCUAACGUUGGCCCCUUACCGGGGUUGCGGACAGUGUCUGGUGGGUAGUUUGACUGGGGCGGUCUCCUCCCAAAGCGUAACGGAGGAGCACGAAGGUUAGCUAAUCCUGGUCGGACAUCAGGAGGUUAGUGCAAUGGCAUAAGCUAGCUUGACUGCGAGCGUGACGGCGCGAGCAGGUGCGAAAGCAGGUCAUAGUGAUCCGGUGGUUCUGAAUGGAAGGGCCAUCGCUCAACGGAUAAAAGGUACUCCGGGGAUAACAGGCUGAUACCGCCCAAGAGUUCAUAUCGACGGCGGUGUUUGGCACCUCGAUGUCGGCUCAUCACAUCCUGGGGCUGAAGUAGGUCCCAAGGGUAUGGCUGUUCGCCAUUUAAAGUGGUACGCGAGCUGGGUUUAGAACGUCGUGAGACAGUUCGGUCCCUAUCUGCCGUGGGCGCUGGAGAAUUGAGGGGGGCUGCUCCUAGUACGAGAGGACCGGAGUGGACGCAUCACUGGUGUUCGGGUUGUCAUGCCAAUGGCACUGCCCGGUAGCUAAAUGCGGAAGAGAUAAGUGCUGAAAGCAUCUAAGCACGAAACUUGCCCCGAGAUGAGUUCUCCCUGAGACUUUAAGUCUCCUGAAGGAACGUUGAAGACGACGACGUUGAUAGGCCGGGUGUGUAAGCGCAGCGAUGCGUUGAGCUAACCGGUACUAAUGAACCGUGAGGCUUAACCUU
rnacentral:rRNA from 1 species